CGGGAUGUAGCCUAGUGGUAAGGCGCCUCAUCUGGGGUGAGGAGAUCCGCCGGUUCGAUUCCGGCCGUCCCGACGA
rnacentral:tRNA from 1 species